rnacentral:misc_RNA from 1 species
GCAAGGCAGAGGUUUGAGCAGUACUGGUUGAGAAGACCUGUACUCUUGGGAUCUUCUGUUGCUCAUGCAAACGGUUAUGCUGUAGAUGCUACAUGAAGGACUCAAUCCAUUCAUUCAUUGGCUUUUACUUCAAUUACAAAAGCAAUCGCCCACAUUGUAACUGCAAACUCAGUUUUUGCACUCUCAACUCAUCUGUGGAAAUCACUGAGAGUAAUAAAUUAGAUUGUUGG